rnacentral:lncRNA from 1 species
AUUAUUUUGGGAUUUUUUGGACGAAAAGUGAAAUUACUACAAAUUUUUAAAGAAAAUGCAAUUUAAAAUAAUUAAAGAAUUGGAAUUAAAAUCAGAAGAAAAAAAACAUGAGCGUUGGAUCACGCCUCAUUAAUUGACGUGGUAGAUCCAACACUCCAAAUGCUGAGAAACCCUAUGGAACGCACUGCAAGCCAAACACAAGAUCCAGUUUGAAUUUAACCAAUCAAAACAUUUCAAAAUGCCAACGUGUUUGGUCCAAACUCA